AACAUGAUGCAUCGACCAGUCCGAAGGUCCCAAACUCUGCCGAAGGAGUCAUGACCUCCUGUCGCACUGACACUGCCGUCACACUGGAAGCUUGCACCGCUCUGGCGUGGCCCUCCUGAUGAAGCACUUCGACUUGCUGCUCGAGAUCCCAAAGUCGCCAGGAAGCGUCAUGGCAGCAUGUGCCGAGGAACCUGCCCGAUGGAUGAAAUGCUAUUCGUGACACUCUGUGAGGCUCGUGGCCCUCCACGUCUGCCAAAGGCUCUUCACCUUUUCCACCGCUCCAUAGUUUUACACUUCCUGUGGAAGAAAUAUAUUUCUAACGCUAGAAAGGAAGUUUCAAAAACGGAACCUUCAAAUGGUACUUUUGUACCACCUUAAGUAUGCAUGAAAAUAUAUUAAAAGUAAAUUAUAA